rnacentral:rRNA from 1 species
CCCAUCCUACGGGGGGCAGCAGUGGGGAAUAUUGCACAAUGGGGGAAACCCUGAUGCAGCGACGCCGCGUGAGUGAAGAAGUAUUUCGGUACGUAAAGCUCUAUCAGCAGGGAAGAAAUAAAGUCCUUUGGACUUUGGACGGUACCUGACUAAGAAGCCCCGGCUAACUACGUGCCAGCAGCCGCGGUAAUACGUAGGGGGCAAGCGUUAUCCGGAUUUACUGGGUGUAAAGGGAGCGUAGACGGCAGCACAAGUCUGGAGUGAAAUCCCGGGGCUUAACCCCGGAACUGCUUUGGAAACUGUGC